CAGGCCUAACACAUGCAAGUCGAGCGGAGUGAUGGUGCUUGCACUAUCACUUAGCGGCGGACGGGUGAGUAAUGCUUAGGAAUCUGCCAUUUAGUGGGGGACAACAUUCCGAAAGGAAUGCUAAUACCGCAUACGUCCUACGGGAGAAAGCAGGGGAUCUUCGGACCUUGCGCUAAAUGAUGAGCCUAAGUCGGAUUAGCUAGUUGGUGGGGUAAAGGCCUACCAAGGCGACGAUCUGUAGCGGGUCUGAGAGGAUGAUCCGCCACACUGGGACUGAGACACGGCCCAGACUCCUACGGGAGGCAGCAGUGGGGAAUAUUGGACAAUGGGCGGAAGCCUGAUCCAGCCAUGCCGCGUGUGUGAAGAAGGCCUUUUGGUUGUAAAGCACUUUAAGCGAGGAGGAGGCUCUCCUAGUUAAUACCUAGGAUGAGUGGACGUUACUCGCAGAAUAAGCACCGGCUAACUCUGUGCCAGCAGCCGCGGUAAU
rnacentral:rRNA from 1 species